CUCGUUUGGACACUAGGGGUGCGUUUGAUUGUUGAAAUCAACUCAACUCAUCUCAAGCCAAUCAUUGAUGGAACCCAUUACUUUUGCAACUUCUCAUUAAAAAGUUAAACUCAUCUCAACCUGUUUCAUUCAUUCAAAUACAUAUAUCAACCUAUUUGCAUUCAAACACAUAUCAACGGGACUAGAAAUCAUUACUAUUUAUAUAUCAACUCAAAUCAUUUGAGA